rnacentral:rRNA from 1 species
UACGUAGGGUGCAAGCGUUGUCCGGAAUUAUUGGGCGUAAAGAGCGUGUAGGCGGCCCGGUUAGUCCGCUGUGAAAGUCCAGGGCUCAACCCUGGAAUGCCGGUGGAUACUGUCGGGCUAGAGUCCGGAAGGGGCGAGUGGAAUUCCUGGUGUAGCGGUGAAAUGGCGCAGAUAUCAGGAGGAACACCAAUGGCGAAGGCAGCUGGCUGGGACGGUACUGACGCUGAGGCGCGAAGCGUGGGGAGCGAACAGG